GACGAACGCUGGCGGCGUGCUUAACACAUGCAAGUCGAACGGAAAGGCCCUGCUUUUGUGGGGUGCUCGAGUGGCGAACGGGUGAGUAACACGUGAGUAACCUGCCCUUGACUUUGGGAUAACUUCAGGAAACUGGGGCUAAUACCGGAUAGGAGCUCCUGCUGCAUGGUGGGGGUUGGAAAGUUUCGGCGGUUGGGGUUGGACUCGCGGCUUAUCAGCUUGUUGGUGGGGUAGUGGCUUACCAAGGCUUUGACGGGUAGCCGGCCGGUGAGGGUGACCGGCCACAUUGGGACGGAGAUACGGCCCGGACACAUACGGGAGGCAGGAGUGGGAAUAUUGCACAAUGGGCGGAAGCCUGGUGCGGCAACGCCGCGUGCGGGAUGACGGGCUUCGGGUUGUAAACCGCUUUCGCCUGUGACGAAGCGUGAGUGACGGUAAUGGGUAAAGAAGCACCGGCUAACUACGUG
rnacentral:rRNA from 1 species